CCGUGGCCGGUGACUCUGCAGGGGAAUCCUGCAUGGCGGCCAGGGCAGAGUGGGGCUGGAGCCAGGUGGUUCUUCCACGAGUCCAGACUGAGCCCAGGACAGCACCGAGGUGGGGAACAAUGCCCCGGGGACAAUGUGACCUCACUGUGUGCAGGAGUGACUCGGGGAUGGAUUCUGGGGCCUGAGCAAGCACACACCCCCUCUGAGCCACACCCGGGCCCUGACUGAUCCUUAAAGGAGAGACAGCAGGGAGGGUCCUGCUCUACUCUCACCUCUUCAGUGACAUAGUUCCUGCCGAAUUGUGUAGACCAGCGAAGACUUCUGUACUGGUUACUGAUUUCUACAUGAGGAAUGAAGGAGAGCUCGGUAACAGAAACCCGCGAGUUUCUCCUCAUCAUUUCUGUGGGCCGGCUCUGCGCCCACCCUACCUGGUCCUAGGUGUCAGCCUUUCCCGAAGCUGUGAUGAAGGCACAGCCAGGGCUGCAGUCUCCUUGAGGCCCC
rnacentral:lncRNA from 1 species